UACGUAGGGUGCGAGCGUUUAAUCGGAAUUACUGGGCGUAAAGCGUGCGCAGGCGGUCUGUUAAGACCGAUGUGAAAUCCCCGGGCUUAACCUGGGAACUGCAUUGGUGACUGGCAGGCUUUGAGUGUGGCAGAGGGAGGUAGAAUUCCACGUGUAGCAGUGAAAUGCGUAGAGAUGUGGAGGAAUACCGAUGGCGAAGGCAGCCUCCUGGGCCAACACUGACGCUCAUGCACGAAAGCGUGGGGAGCAAACAGG
rnacentral:rRNA from 1 species